GAUAGUCAGCUACAGGCCUUUUUUUGUGAGCAGUGAGCGAUUUUUUUCCAUGGCCGAAUCUAAAAUGAAUGAAGAAAAGUGUUUACAACCUAAACUUCAUAAAUUGGAGACGACUUGGCUCGAUCAAGAAUAUGUUACAGAGCAAUUAAAAAACUGGAAUGUGUUGCUGUACCAACUCCCCCCACACCACGAAGCUGUGAACAG